UACGGUGAGACGUGAAAACACCCGAUCCCAUUCCGACCUCGAUUUGUGAAAUCGUCUUGCGCCAUAUGUACUGAGAUUGUUCGGGAGACAUGGUCAAAGCCCGCAUU
rnacentral:rRNA from 1 species